rnacentral:sRNA from 1 species
GCUGGAUAUGGUGGCACACUCCUGUAAUCCUAGGACUUGGGAGGCUGAGACAGGAGGAUUGCAAGUUCCAGGCCAGCCUCAGCAACUUAGCAAGAUCCUGUCUCAA